rnacentral:rRNA from 1 species
GAUGAACGCUAGCGGCAGGCUUAACACAUGCAAGUCGAGGGGUAUUGGUUUUCGGACCAAGAGACCGGCGCACGGGUGCGUAACGCGUAUGCAAUCUACCUUUUGCAGAGGGAUAGCCCAGAGAAAUUUGGAUUAAUACCUCAUAGUAUAGUACUUUGGCACCAAGGAACUAUUAAAGUCACAACGGCAAAAGAUGAGCAUGCGUCCCAUUAGCUAGUUGGUAAGGUAACGGCUUACCAAGGCUACGAUGGGUAGGGGUCCUGAGAGGGAGAUCCCCCACACUGGUACUGAGACACGGACCAGACUCCUACGGGAGGCAGCAGUGAGGAAUAUUGGACAAUGGCGGCAAGCCUGAUCCAGCAAUAGCCGCGUGGCAGGAUGAAGG